rnacentral:rRNA from 1 species
CCUACGGGAGGCAGCAGUGAGGAAUAUUGGUCAAUGGACGAGAGUCUGAACCAGCCAAGUAGCGUGAAGGAUGACUGCCCUAUGGGUUGUAAACUUCUUUUAUAUGGGAAUAAAACGUUCCACGUGUGGGUUUUUGUAUGUACCAUAUGAAUAAGGAUCGGCUAACUCCGUGCCAGCAGCCGCGGUAAUACGGAGGAUCCGAGCCUUAUCCGGAUUUAUUGGGUUUAAAGGGAGCGUAGGUGGAUUGUUAAGUCAGUUGUGAAAGUUUGCGGCUCAACCGUAAAAUUGCAGUUGAAACUGGCAGUCUUGAGUACAGUAGAGGUGGGCGGAAUUCGUGGUGUAGCGGUGAAAUGCUUAGAUAUCACGAAGAACUCCGAUUGCGAAGGCAGCUCACUGGACUGCAACUGACACUGAGGCUCGAAAGUGUGGGUAUCAAACAGGAUUAGAUACCCGAGUAGUC